rnacentral:rRNA from 1 species
UGGGGGAUAUUGCACAAUGGGCGAAAGCCUGAUGCAGCGACGCCGCGUGGGGGAUGAAGGCUUUCGGGUUGUAAACCUCUUUCGCUAUCGAACAAGGCCCGCUUAGGGUGGGUUGAGGGUAGGUGGAGAAGAAGCGCCGGCUAACUACGUGCCAGCAGCCGCGGUAAUACGUAGGGCGCGAGCGUUGUCCGGAAUUAUUGGGCGUAAAGGGCUUGUAGGCGGCUUGUUGCGCCUGCUGUGAAAACGCGGGGCUUAACUUCGCGCGUGCAGUGGGUACGGGCAGGCUUGAGUGUGGUAGGGGUGACUGGAAUUCCAGGUGUAUCGGUGGAAUGCGCAGAUAUCUGGAGGAACACCGAUGGCGAAGGCAGGUCACUGGGCCAUUACUGACGCUGAGGAGCGAAAGCAUGGGUAGCGAACAGG